rnacentral:rRNA from 1 species
CCUAGUAACUGCGAGUGAAGCGGGAAAAGCUCAAAUUUGAAAUCUGGCGGUCCUUUGCGGCCGUCCGAGUUGUAAUCUAGAGAAGUGCUACCCGCGCUGGACCGUGUACAAGUCUCCUGGAAUGGAGCGUCACAGAGGGUGAGAAUCCCGUCUUUGACACGGACUGCCAGGGCUUAUGUGGUGCGCUCUCGAAGAGUCGAGUUGUUUGGGAAUGCAGCUCUAAAUGGGUGGUAAAUUCCAUCUAAAGCUAAAUACAGGCGAGAGACCGAUAGCGAACAAGUACCGUGAGGGAAAGAUGAAAAGAACUUUGGAAAGAGAGUUAAACAGUACGUGAAAUUGCUGAAAGGGAAACGUUUGAAGUCAGUCGCGUUGGCUGGGGAUCAACCUUGCUCUUGCAGGGCGCACUCUCUGGCUCGACGGGUCAGCAUCAGUUUCGGCCGCUGGAGAAAGGCUAGGGGAAUGUGGCAUCGCUUCGGUGAUGUGUUAUAGCCCUUGGUCGUAUGCAGCGGCUGGGACUGAGGAACUCAGCCUGCCCUUAACUGGGCCGGGUCUUUUUGACCACGCUUAACGGGCUUAGGAUGCUGGCAUAAUGGCUUUAAGCGACCCGUCUUGAAACACGGACCAAGGAGUCUAACAUGCUUGCGAGUGUUUGGGUGGAAAACCCGAGCGCGUAAUGAAAGUGAAAGUUGGGAACCCUGUCGUGGGGUGCACCGACGCCCGGACCAGACCUUCUUGCGACGGCUCCGCGGUAGAGCAGGCAUGUUGGGACCCGAAAGAUGGUGAACUAUGCCUGAAUAGGGUGAAGCCAGAGGAAACUCUGGUGGAGGCUCGUAGCGAUUCUGACGUGCAAAUCGAUCGUCAAAUUUGGGUAUAGGGGCGAAAGACUAAUCGAACCAUCUAGUAGCUGGUCCUGCGAG